rnacentral:rRNA from 1 species
GGAAGAAAAUGACGGUACCUGCACUAAAGAAGCUCCGGCUAAAUACGUGCCAGCAGCCGCGGUAAUACGUAGGGGGCCAGCGUUGUCCGGAAUUACUGGGCGUAAAGGGCGCGUAGGCGGCAUGAUAAGUCAGAGGUGAAAUUCCGGGUUUCCACCCUCGGAACUGCCAUUAGAACUGUAUGCCUUGAGUGUCGGAGAGGCAAGUGGAAUUCCCAGUGUAGCGGUGAAAUGCGUAGAGAUUGGGAGGAACACCAGUGGCGAAGGCGGCUUUCUGGGCCGUAACUGACGCUGAGGCGUGAAAGCGUGGGGAGCCAACAGGAUUAGAUACCCUGGUAGUCCACGCCGUAAACGAUGAAUAAUAGGUGUAGGGGGUAUCGUCCCCUCCUGUGGCGGCGUAGACACCAUAAGCAUUCCGCCUCGGGAGUACGGCGACAAGGAGGAGGCUCAACGGAAGAGUUGGGGGCGGGCGCAAGCAGCGGAGCAUGUUGUUUUUUUUGUCGCAAUAUGGAGAACCACAUCAGGUGGUGAUAUCGUUGUAAACCCGAAGCAAUGGGGCGUGGGUUCCCCCGACGGGAAACAUGUGGCACAUGGUCCUCGUCUGUUAGUGUCGUGAGUGGUUGGGUUAAGUCGUGCCUCUCGCGCCUCCCACACCGUCUGUUGAUAGUGGCUAAGGCGGAGCACUCUGCCGAGACUGCCAUAGGACAAACGGGAGGAAGGCGGGGACGACGUCAAAUCAUCAUGCCCCUUAUGUGGUGGGCUACACACGUGCUACAAUGGCGGCCACUAAGGGAAGCAAACCCGCGGGGGCAAGCAAAUUUCCCAA